GAGAGAUUCCUGUGACUUUUAAAAUGAUGUUAUCAUUACUUGAGAUACUCUUUCCUUGAGAUGCCACUGUGUAGUGCUUCAUUUUUUUUUUCUAAAACAGUAUGUUUUGAAGAGUGCUUUUUAAAACUGUUGGAGAAAUGUCUGUUUCUUUUUCUAGGCCAUGACCUUGCCUCCUUUCCUGGAGUUCGGUGUCCCGUUCCCAGCCCACCUCAGAGCCUGGACGGUGGAGAGGAAGCGCCCAGGCAGGCUUUUACGAACUGACCGGCAGCCACUCAGGGAAUAUAAACUAGGACGGAGAAUUGAGAUCUGCUUAGAGCCCCUUCAGAAAGGCGAAAACUUGGGCCCCCAGGACGUGCUGCUGAGGACACAGGUGCGCAUCCCUGGUGAGAGGACCUACACCCCUGCCCUGGACCUGGUGUGGAACGUGGCCCAGGGUGGGACUGCCGGCUCCCUGAGGCAGAGAGUUGCCGAUUUCUAUUGUCUUCCCGUGGAGAAGAUUGAAAUUGCCAAAUACUUUCCCGAAAAGUUCGAGUGGCUUCCGAUAUCUAGCUGGAACCAACAAAUAACCAAGAGGAAAAAGAAAAAAAAACAAGAUUAUUUGCAAGGGGCACCGUAUUACUUGAAAGACGGAGAUACUAUUGGUGUUAAGAAUCUCCUGAUUGACGACGAUGAUGAUUUCAGUACAAUCAGAGAUGACACUGGAAAAGAAAAGCAGAAACAACGGGCCCUGGGGAGAAGGAAAAGCCAAGAAGCCCUCCACGAGCAGAGCAGCUACAUCCUCUCCAGUGCAGAGACGCCUGCCCGGCCCCGAGCCCCGGAAACUUCUCUCUCCAUCCACGUGGGGAGCUUCAGAUAACCGUGCCGCUGCACGGCUCCACUCCCGAUGAACUCUCCGGCUGAUGCCACAAACGUGGGUUUCCUGGGCAUGGGGACUGGCUGCCUGGCGCCUCCAAUCCCAAAUCCUCUGCUUCCUUUGAGCACAGGGACGGCUCCUCUGAGGCCUGGCCAGUGCAUGUAGUCACUUAGCUCUGCAACACGUGGCAGCCACGGGGGCUGGUGCAGCUCUGGACCCAGCUGCCAGUAGGUGCUGGGCUCUCUCACACAGCGCCUGGCCCCAGCCGCCUUUUUUUUUCUUUUAACCAGAAAAUGCACAACGUAUGCGUGAACCGCAGGUAUGGAGGCAGCGGCAUGCCGUCGCCCCGCUGUGGGAGGUGUGUGGGGUCAGCCCAGCCACUUACCUCUGUGUUCAGAUGACUCUCGUUCGCCCUGACCGGGUUCUCACAGCAUCUCAGGCCACUGCGCCACCGCGCUGGUGCUGAGCAGAAGCGGGGUCUGCUUUCAGGACUUCAUUUCCCCCACUCGUUCUGGCCGCACAUGCUCCAUGUCUGCCCUUUGGUCUGAGUUAAAACUGCGAUGCUGAAAAGUGCGAGCUCUUUCCCCGAGGAGGAGCCACACAGGGCGGCCUCCGAGGGUGAGUCGCUCUGCUAAGCAAGGGCGGCCGCUGCACGUCAGCCCGCAGGCCGAGGGUCCAGCUUAUCCUGGGUGCUCUGUGAUCAGAAGGUCCUUGGAUCCCGAGGACUGCGGCUGCUGCCGUCCACAGCGCCUCAGCCUCUCUUCCUGUGUGGAAGCGGGGCAGGCAGGGCUGUGGCAGACAGGCCUGGCAUAGCCCAGGUUCCAGGUGUCCUGGGCAGCCUGACUGGGUUCCUGAGUAGCCUCAAUGAAAACACCUGAGAAAAAGAAAAUGUAAACUAAGGAAGGGUUUUUCCACUUAAUCCAACCCAGAUUUCUAUUCAACUUAAAGGAUUUAAUUGGCAUUUGUGAGAAAUAAUAGCACCUGUGUCACUGAGUUGAUUGAUUUGGGACACAGACGGUUGACUUUCCCAGACAGCAGCUUAGCGGAAAGCAGCAUCCCGAAGACGGUGUCGCAUGUCCUGAGCCUGCUUGUCACCUGGGCCUCACGGUUUCUCGUCAGCCCCGUCACUGAUGGGAAGCAGCACUGAAGUGUGAGGGCAGAAAGGACACCGCUGGAGUCAGGCGCUCCCCUGCCUGUGACCCUUUUCCAACAAGCUGAUGCUGAGCCAGCGGCCUGCUCUGUCCCGCAUACUCCUCCCAACAGUCCAAACCACUACCAGACAGAAGCCACAUCGCUUCUGCACACGUGUCUGAGAGCGUCUGCCAUAGACACUGUGCGUUUCCGUGAAGCACUGCGCCCUAAGGACCCAACUCUGACUAGCAGCUGCCUCCCACUCCCAAACACUAACCCCGCUCAGGAGACUCGCACUGGGUGUAGACUGCGUCUUUGCAGAGGGAGAUGAUAGAGGCUUCUGAUGACGCCAGAGCUGUAAGUGUCGUGAUGAGCUGGGCGCCCAGCCCUUCUUAAGCUGUUCUGUUUCUGUGGCUUUAACUGACAUAUUUCUGUAGCAUCCGCCUUCAUCUCAUCUCAGCGUAAUGAAAUAUUAAUGAAAUUGCUGAAAAGCUUUGCCUUCGAGAGGCCAGAAGCCUCGCGGAAUGUCUGCAAGUCCAAAGACGCGUGUGGGUUGUGCCCUGAAGUGCCGUCCAGCAGGCGCGUGCGGCCGGGCCGGCCUGUGCGUGUGGCCUUUGCCUUCUUCCCUUUCUUCCUGUUUUCUGUUUUUUUAAUUUGGGGAUUGAGAAAGCUGUACGAUUUUGUUAAAGAAAAAAUAAACCAUUUUUUAAAGUUGUA
rnacentral:sRNA from 1 species